rnacentral:tmRNA from 1 species
GGGGGUGUAAAGGUUUCGACAGGCGAAGAUAAAUACUGAUUGCGCUGGGAGGAUGGUGGUUGGCCUCUAGAAUAAUCCACUACACAAUAAAUGCAAACAAUACAACUGCUGCAGACAAUUACGCCUUUGCGGGUGCAAUUGCUGCUUAGUACCAGCCUUGGAUUCUUCGGAAUCUAAGCGAGCUAGAGGGUAGACUUAAUCUCCUGUGUAACCCUUCGGCUGUCAAAAAGAAGUAACUGUAAUGGAGCGGCGAGGAUGGUCCGAUAAUCGUCGUAUUUAGGAAUCGAUUCUUGGUGCCGUGAGUGAUGGCUUACCUCGAAUUUAAACCCAUAAUCAAUCUAUCAGCGUAGAGGUUAGUAUUGAAGAGCGUUUGGACCAGGGUUCGACUCCCUGCACCUCCACCA